UACGGGGGGAGCAAGCGUUGUUCGGAUUUACUGGGCGUAAAGGGCGCGUAGGCGGCAAAUUAAGUCAGCUGUGAAAUCUCCGAGCUUAACUCGGAACGGUCAGCUGAUACUGCUUUGCUAGAGUGCAGAAAGGGCAAUCGGAAUUCUUGGUGUAGCGGUGAAAUGCGUAGAUAUCAAGAGGAACACCUGAGGCGAAGGCGGGUUGCUAGGCUGACACUGACGCUGAGGCGCGAAAGCCAGGGGAGCAAACGGG
rnacentral:rRNA from 1 species